rnacentral:rRNA from 1 species
AUUGAACGCUGGCGGCAUGCCUUACACAUGCAAGUCGAACGGUAACGGGCCUUCGGGUGCCGACGAGUGGCGAACGGGUGAGUAAUGUAUCGGAACGUACCUUUCAGUGGGGGAUAACGUAGCGAAAGUUACGCUAAUACCGCAUAUUCUGUGUGCAGGAAAGCAGGGGAUCGCAAGACCUUGCGCUGAUUGAGCGGCCGAUAUCAGAUUAGCUAGUUGGUGAGGUAAAGGCUCACCAAGGCGACGAUCUGUAGCGGGUCCGAGAGGUGAUCCGCCGAACUGGAACUGGGAUACGGUCCAGACUCCUACGGGAGGCAGCAGGGGGGAAUUUUGGACAAUGGGGGCAACCCUGAUCCAGCCAUGCCGCGUGAGUGAAGAAGGCCUUCGGGUUGUAAAGCUCUUUCGGCCGGGAAGAAAUCGUAUCAGCUAAUACCUGGUGCGGAUGACGGUACCGGCAUAAGAAGCACCGGCUAACUACGUGCCAGCCGCCGCGGUAAAAC